GGGGAGUACCGGUCGCAAAGNCNNANAGUCAAAGGAAAUUGAGCGGGGGCCNNCCCCAAGCGNUGGAGCAUGNGGUUCNANUCGAAGCGACGCGAAGAACCCUUACCAGCGCCUNGACAUGUCUCGUAUGNUCGCCCAGAGAACGGUGACNCUUCCCCGNAAGGGGCGAGAACACCAGGUGCUGCAUGGGCCGUCGUCAGCUCNUNUCGUGAGAUNNUGGGGUUAAGUCCCGCAACCGAGCGCAACCCUCGCCCUUAGUUGCCAUCAUUUAGUUGGGCACUCUAAGGGGACUGCCGGUGAUAAGCCGGAGGAAGGUGGGGAUGACGUCAAGUCCUCAUGGCCCUUACGGGNUGGGCUACACACGUGCUACAAUGGCGGUGACAGAGGGAUGCAAAGGGGCAACCCUUCGCAAAUCUCAAAAAGCCGUCUCAGUUCGGAUUGGGGUCUGCAACUCGACCCCAUGAAGUUGGAAUCGCUAGUAAUCGUGGAUCAGCACGCCACGGUGAAUACGUUCCCGGGCCUUGUACACACCGCCCGUCACACCAUGGGAGUUGGCUUUACCUGAAGACGGUGCGCUAACCGNCAAGGAAGCAGCCGGCCACGGUAGGGUCAGCGANCUGGGGUGAAGUCGUAANCAAGGUACC
rnacentral:rRNA from 1 species